rnacentral:rRNA from 1 species
AGAGUUUGAUCCUGGCUCAGGACGAACGCUGGCGGCGUGCCUAAUACAUGCAAGUCGAGCGGACCUCUUCGGAGGUUAGCGGCGGACGGGUGAGUAACACGUGGGCAACCUGCCUGUAAGACUGGGAUAACUCCGGGAAACCGGAGCUAAUACCGGAUAGUAUCUUGAACCGCAUGGUUCAAGAUGGAAAGACGGUUUCGGCUGUCACUUACAGAUGGGCCCGCGGCGCAUUAGCUAGUUGGUGAGGUAAUGGCUCACCAAGGCAACGAUGCGUAGCCGACCUGAGAGGGUGAUCGGCCACACUGGGACUGAGACACGGCCCAGACUCCUACGGGAGGCAGCAGUCGGGAAUCUUGCGCAAUGGGCGAAAGCCUGACGCAGCAACACCGUGUGUGUGACGAAGGCCUUCGGGUCGUAAAGCACUGUUGUUGGGGACGAAGGGCGAAGGGUUAAUAGCCCCGAGCUUGACGGUACCCUUCGAGGAAGCCCCGGCUAACUACGUGCCAGCAGCCGCGGUAAUACGUAGGGGGCGAGCGUUGUUCGGAAUUACUGGGCGUAAAGCGCGCGCAGGCGGGUGCGCAAGUCGGAGGUGAAAGCGCAGGGCUCAACCCUGCGACGCCCUCCGAGACUGCGCGUCUGGGGACCAGUAGAGGCGAGUGGAAUUCCCGGUGUAGCGGUGGAAUGCGUAGAUAUCGGGAAGAACACCGGAGGCGAAGGCGGCUCGCUGGGCUGGAUCCGACGCUGAGGCGCGAAAGCGUGGGGAGCAAACAGGAUUAGAUACCCUGGUAGUCCACGCCGUAAACGAUGGGUGCUAGGUGUCGGGGGGAGCGACCCCCUCGGUGCCGCAGCUAACGCAUUAAGCACCCCGCCUGGGGAGUACGGCCGCAAGGCUGAAACUUAAAGGAAUUGACGG